UACGUAGGGUGCAAGCGUUGUCCGGAAUUAUUGGGCGUAAAGAGCUCGUAGGUGGCCUGUCGCGUCGGCUGUGAAAACUCGGGGCUCAACUCCGAGCUUGCAGUCGAUACGGGCAGGCUAGAGUUCGGCAGGGGAGACUGGAAUUCCUGGUGUAGCGGUGAAAUGCGCAGAUAUCAGGAGGAACACCGGUGGCGAAGGCGGGUCUCUGGGCCGAUACUGACAUUGAGGAGCGAAAGCGUGGGGAGCGAACAGG
rnacentral:rRNA from 1 species